rnacentral:ncRNA from 1 species
GAACGCUGAAAUAAACCGUUGGUCAAGCAAUGGGUUUAUGGAGUUCUAACAGGGGGUUUGUAUAGUUUCCACGACUUGAAUAGGCGUAUUGCCGAAAGAAAAUAUACCUUUA